UACGGAGGGUGCAAGCGUUGUUCGGAUUCACUGGGUAUAAAGGGUGCGCAGGCGGCCCGAUAAGUCAGGGGUGAAAUAUGACGGCUUAACCGUCAAACUGCCCCUGAAACUGUCAGGCUUGAGUUCGAGAGAGGUAGGUGGAAUUCCAGGUGUAGCGGUGAAAUGCGUAAAUAUCUGGAGGAACACCGGUGGCGAAGGCGGCCUACUGGCUCGAUACUGACGCUCAGGCACGAAAGCAUGGGGAGCGAACGGGAUUAGAUACCCCCGUA
rnacentral:rRNA from 1 species